GCCCGCGUGGUGUAGCGGUUAGCAUUCUACCCUGUCACGGUAGCGACCCGAGUUCGAGUCUCGGCGUGGGCG
rnacentral:tRNA from 1 species